AUUGAACGCUGGCGGCAGGCCUAACACAUGCAAGUCGAGCGGAUGAGUGGAGCUUGCUCCAUGAUUCAGCGGCGGACGGGUGAGUAAUGCCUAGGAAUCUGCCUGGUAGUGGGGGGACAACGUUUCGAAAGGAACGCUAAUACCGCAUACGUCCUACGGGAGAAAGCAGGGGACCUUCGGGCCUUGCGCUAUCAGAUGAGCCUAGGUCGGAUUAGCUAGUAGGUGAGGUAAUGGCUCACCUAGGCGACGAUCCGUAACUGGUCUGAGAGGAUGAUCAGUCACACUGGAACUGAGACACGGUCCAGACUCCUACGGAGGCAGCAGUGGGAUAUUGGACAAAUGGGCGGAAAGGACCUCGGAUCCAGCAAUGCCGCGUGAGUGAUGAAGGCCUUA
rnacentral:rRNA from 1 species